UUGGAAACGAGGUUAUCAUGGCUUUUGGGCCAUUCACCGUUUUCUCUAUUCUUCUGCUUAGUUGUCUUCUCCAGCCACAUGCACAUCAGCUCCUUCUCCAGGAUGGCCUGAAAAAACCAAGGCCUCCACACGGGCCAAGCUCUGAAUCCAGGUCAUCUCCUCCUCUGACACCCUGAGUUUCUCUUUUGCGGUCUUCAGCGCUUGAUACCUAUUCAAUUCAUACAAUGAAAUUCUCAACACUAGUCUUCAGCGAGUCUCAUGCAUGCACUAAUCUUUGAUCACCACAUUCUAUUUCUCAAACAGCUUGAAGAGGUCAGAGAAAGAUUCUCUCGUGGAGUUCAGGCCUCUUUCAGGACCUUCUACAUCUCAGCUUUGCUGGGUUUUCUCACUGCCUGGUGCAUGAUCCGCUUGAACUCUGCCAUGAUCUUCCCCGCCUCCAGGUCCUCCACGCGGCAAAGGACAUGCGGGACCAGUUGGGGCUCCAAGGAGGUCAAGUCCCAGCCCCCCGACCGCAGGCGGGCCUUGUAAGGACGAUGCCUCUGGGUCUCGGGAGAGGUGGGUUUCGGCGCCAGUUGGCCGAUCUCUCAUGGCUGCUCUUCAGGAGUGGUCAAGCUGGAGAUAUAAGGACAGUUUCCUCAGGUUAAUUCUUAAACGAGGGAGUCACAAACUGCUCCAGAAAGUCCAGGUUGGCCGGAACCCGGCAUUCGGCUGGGUCUUGGAGGUGCUCCUGGGUCAAGUGGGGCAUAUCAGAUGUGACUGUGGUGAGAGCAGGCGCAGCCCACGCACUCGGUUUCCCUGCUCGCCCGCCGCCCCUGCGAUGCAGAACGUGGUCUUACCACCGAGUCAUGUCCGUCCGCUGAGGCUAAGCCAGAGCCACUUCCUCACAGGUGAGUCUCUGAGGCCACAGGCCCAGAGUAUCGUUCCUCCGCCACGGCCAGGCCGCCCCUCUUUGGGGGCCCGGCUGCCCUGCCACCUUCGAAUGGGUUGGUUUGGGUGGUCCAGUGUGUCCCAGUCCAGUUUGUCGGCCCUUGAAAAAGGGUCCCGGAAGUCUCAUCCGCCUCCUGGGGUCUUUUCUGGCCUCGCCUUUUGGCAUUGGGUCUCUUCCUCGGCUGCCUUGGUCCGGGUGGCUUCAUCAGAGGAGUCAAAUUCUGGGCUGAUGGGCCCACUGCUUAAACCAUCGGCCGGUUGGCCAUUGGCUGCUUCUUGCUGAGGACUUGGGGACCCGGCCCCUCCAGGGUUCAGAGGGUGGGCGGGGGCUGUGUUUCCAGGACCGGAAGUGACCUGGGGCCAGCAAGGCACGUCUUCAGGGAGCCCUUCUCCACCAGGCAUGUCUUGAUCAAAAAGUGGGAAGUACGUCUUGCAUUUCCUCGAAGAUCCGACCAAGGGGUUAAAUUUAAUUGCCUGAUGGUAAAGUACAGCUAUUAGCUGCAAGGCAAGAACCUUGGAGUGGGUUGCCACUUCUUC